rnacentral:lncRNA from 10 species
GAUGCUGCUGCUAUAGUACUUUCAGGCAAGGCCAAGGCUUCUUGAAAGGCUGGUCAUGCCCCAGUGAUCAAUGAAGAACUCAGGGAUAUCCCAAAACUCAGGACUAUAAGGCACAAUGGGGGAGCAGGUACCAGGUGGCCAGCAUCCUAAAUGACUCUCAGCAGCUGCAGAGAAGUAUAGAAUGCUGGGGCCCUUCCAUUACUCCAUGCACUGGGGAAGAACUAGAAUUGUGAGAA